UGGCUCAGACAGUAAAGCGUCUGUCUGCAAUGCAGGAGACCAGGGUUCGAUCCCUG
rnacentral:tRNA from 1 species